rnacentral:lncRNA from 1 species
GGAGGUAACCCAACUGUUUUUCUUUGUUUUGUUUUCCUUUCGUUUAGUUUCUUUUUGUUUCUUUGUUUUCUUUGUUUUCUUUGUUUUGGGUUUUUUUUAGUGCAGCGUUGAGCUUGGAAGAUGCGGGAACUCGCGCCUUGUUCAUACCACCACCAUGGAGCAUGUAUUUUUCUGUGAGUAGUGACACACAUAUCAUCAUCCCUCCAAACUUAUUUUCGAACUUAUGUUCUGUAAUAAGUUUGGGGGAGGGGGGUGAGAAUAGAUAUGUGUAUCACUUUUAUCUUUUUGUUGGCUUUAUUGUUUUAUCCUGCUUGGUUGGUGGUGUGUGUUUGUUUUGUUUUUGAGUUGGUUAUUACUCCAUUAGAUUUCUGGUGAGAUGCCAAUGAUGAUUUCUAUGAAAAAAAAUAUUGAAUUUGAUUUUCUUUGAUGAUUUGAGCAUAAUUGGAACUAAUUUGCAUAAUUCUAGAGUGAUUUUAACCUUGACUUUUGGACGUUGAAUAAACC